rnacentral:rRNA from 1 species
GAUGAACGCUGGCGGCGUGCCUAAUACAUGCAAGUCGAGCGAACAGACGCUGCGCUUGCUGCUCUGACGUUAGGGGCGGACGGGUGAGUAACACGUGGAUACCCUACCUAUCAUACUGGGAUAACUUCGGGAAACCGGAGCUAAUACCGGAUGAUAUAUUGCACCGCGUGGUGCAAUAGUGAGAGUCGGUGUUGCUGUCACUUAUAGAUGGAUCCGGGCCGCAUUAGCGGGUUGGGAAGGUCACGGCUUACCAAGGCUAGGAUGCGUAGCCGACCGGAGAGGCUGAUCGCCCACACUGGAACUGAGCCACGGUCCAGACUCCUACGAGAGGCACCAGUCUGCAACCUUCCGCAGCGGGCGAAAGCAUUACGGAGCAACGCCACGUGAGUGACGAAGGUCCCCGGAUCGUAAAGACCUGUUAUGAGGGAAAAACAACUGUGUAAGUAACUAUGCCCGUCGUGACGGUACCUAAUCAGAAAGCCCCGGCUAACUACGUG